rnacentral:rRNA from 1 species
UACGAAGGUCCCAAGCGUUAUCCGGAUUUAUUGGGUUUAAAGGGUGCGUAGGCGGGCUAUUAAGUCAGUGGUGAAAGCCCCAAGCUUAACUUGGGAACUGCCAUUGAUACUGAUGGUCUUGAGUACAUUUGAGGUGGGCGGAAUGUGUCAUGUAGCGGUGAAAUGCUUAGAUAUGUCACAGAACACCGAUUGCGAAGGCAGCGCACUAAAGUGUAACUGACGCUGAGGCACGAAAGCGUGGGGAUCAAACAGG